rnacentral:rRNA from 1 species
AUUGAACGCUGGCGGCAUGCUUUACACAUGCAAGUCGAACGGUAACAGGGUGCUUGCACCGCUGACGAGUGGCGAACGGGUGAGUAAUGCGUCGGAACGUGCCGAGUAGUGGGGGAUAACGCAGCGAAAGUUGUGCUAAUACCGCAUACGUACUGAGGUAGAAAGUGGGGGACCUUCGGGCCUCACGCUAUUCGAGCGGCCGACGUCUGAUUAGCUAGUAGGUGAGGUAAAGGCUCACCUAGGCGACGAUCAGUAGCGGGUCUGAGAGGAUGAUCCGCCACACUGGGACUGAGACACGGCCCAGACUCCUACGGGAGGCAGCAGUGGGGAAUUUUGGACAAUGGGCGAAAGCCUGAUCCAGCCAUGCCGCGUGUCUGAAGAAGGCCUUCGGGUUGUAAAGGACUUUUGUCAGGGAGGAAAUCCCUAGUGCUAAUAACACUGGGGGAUGACAGUACCUGAAGAAUAAGCACCGGCUAACUACGUGCCAGCAGCCGCGGUAA